GCAGUGGUGGCGUAGUGGCUAACGCACUUGUUUUCCAAAAUUCGGUCCCGGGUUCGAUUCCACACUGGGGCA